rnacentral:rRNA from 1 species
GCAGGCCUAAUACAUGCAGUCGAGGGGCAGCGGGUCUUCCUUCGGGAAGAUGCCGGCGACCGGCGCACGGGUGCGUAACGCGUAUGCAACCUGCCCUGACUGGGGGAUAGCUCAGGGAAACUUGAGGUAAUACCCCAUAUACUCAUCGAGGGGCAUCCCUUGCUGAGGAAAGCUCCGGCGGUGCAGGAUGGGCAUGCGUCCGAUUAGCUAGUUGGUGGGGUAACGGCUCACCAAGGCUACGAUCGGUAGGGGGUCUGAGAGGAUGAUCCCCCACACGGACACUGAGACACGGGUCCGACUCCUACGGGAGGCAGCAGUAGGGAAUAUUGGGCAAUGGGCGAAAGCCUGACCCAGCCAUGCCGCGUGGAGGAAGACGGCCCACCGGGUUGUAAACUCCUUUUGUCAGGGACGAAAGAGCGCCUGCGGGCGUGUGUUUGACGGUACCUGACGAAUAAGCACCGGCUAACUCCGUGCCAGCA